UGCCAGUGAUAAACUGGAGGAAGGUGGGGAUGACGUCAAGUCAUCAUGGCCCUUACGACCAGGGCUACACACGUGCUACAAUGGCGCAUACAAAGAGAAGCGACCUCGCGAGAGCAAGCGGACCUCAUAAAGUGCGUCGUAGUCCGGAUUGGAGUCUGCAACUCGACUCCAUGAAGUCGGAAUCGCUAGUAAUCGUAGAUCAGAAUGCUACGGUGAAUACGUUCCCGGGCCUUGUACACACCGCCCGUCACACCAUGGGAGUGGGUUGCAAAAGAAGUAGGUAGCUUAACCUUCGGGAGGGCGCUUACCACUUUGUGAUUCAUGACUGGGGUGAAGUCGUAACAAGGUAACCGUAGGGGAACCUGCGGUUGGAUCACCUCCUUACCUUAAAGAA
rnacentral:rRNA from 1 species